GCGGGCGGAACGUUUCAUACGUACUAAGAAAGCGAUAGCUGCUGCUUAUCCUUCGAUUCGAAGUCUCCUCAGUGUUGCGACUUGUCGAAUUUCUGCUCUGAGAAGAAGAUGUCGUUUCCUCAGCACCUGGCAAUGUCCACGAAGCUCAAGGCAUUGGAAACCAAAACAGCUCAAAGACCGGGUCACCAUUACUACUGGGAGUACGGAUACACAACGCUAAGCUGGAAGAAUGACGAAACUCCCUCACCUAAAGUGGUCGGAUACACGGUGCGAAUUUUCGGAUUCUUCACGAACGACGGUGGCACAACCGAAGUCAGACUUCGCUAUUCAAAUAAAUACUCCCUCUCCUCAAUGAUAGAGCACAGCCAAUACAAAUGUCACUCAUCCGGGUACGACAACAACGAUAAGAAAAGGUAUCCCAAGAAAGAGAUACGACUGCCCGAGCAGAGCUUCUUUUCUAUUGCUGUCAGAAUACAUCAGUCUGACACACUUGCCUCGCUGUACGAGGAGGACGUCAUGUUCACCGAGAAUGUUGGCGACAUCCUGUGUAAGUUACAUCUUUUCCCGCACUUAAGACCUAAGGGUGGUACAGCACUCGAAAUCUCGAAUACC